GCUCUGGUGGCGCAAUCGGUUAGCGCGCGGUACGUGGUAUGCCGAGGCUGUGAGUUCGAGCCUCACCCAGAGCA